rnacentral:rRNA from 1 species
AGUUCGAUUCUGGCUCAGAUUGAACGCUGGCGGGAUGCUUACACAUGCAAGUCGAACGGUGCACGGACUUCGGUCUGGUGGCGAGUGGCGAACGGUGAGUAAUGUAUCGAACGUGCCCAGCAGCGGUGAUAACUACGCGAAAGCGAAGCACACGCAUACGCCCUUCGGGGAAAGCGGGGGACCUUCGGGCCUCGCACUAUUAGAGCGGCCGAUAUCGGAUUAGCCAGUUGCGGGGUAACGGCUCACCAAGGGCGACGAUCCGUAGCUGGUUUGAGGAGGACGACCAGCCACACUGGGACCGAGACACGGCCCAGACUCCUACGGGAGGCAGCAGGAAUGGACAAUGGGGAAACCCUGAUCCAGCCAUCCCGCGUGUGCGAUGAAGGCCUUCGGGUUGUAAAGCACUUUUGGCAGGAAAAGAAACGGCACGGAUAAUACCCCUGCGCAACUGAUUAUACCUGUAGAAUAAGCACCGGCUAACUACGUGCCAGCAGCCGCGGUAAUACGUAGGGGUGCAAGCGUUAAUCGGAAUUACUGGCGUAAAGCGUGCGCAGGCGGUUCGGAAAGAAAGAUGUGAAAUCCCAGAGCUUAACUUGAACUGCAUUUUUAACUACCGAGCUAGAGUGUGCCGAGGGAGGUGGAAUUCCGCGUGUAGCAGUGAAAUGCGUAGAUAUGUGAGGAACACCGAUGGCGAAGGCAGCUUCUGGGAUAACACUGACGCUCAUGCACGAAAGCGUGGGGAGCAAACAGGAUUAGAUACCCUGGUAGUCCACGCCCUAAACGAUGUCAACUAGCUGUUGGGGUUUCGGGCUCUGGUAGCGCAGCUAACGCGUGAAGUUGACCGCCUGGGGAGUACGGUCGCAAGAUUAAAACCCAAAGGACGGGGACUCGUACCAAGCGGUGGAUGAUGUGGAUUAAUUCGAUGCAACGCGAAAACCCUUACCUUACCCUUGAUAUGUCUGAAUCCCUGAAGAGAUUUGGGAGUGCUCGCAAGAGAACCGAACACAGGUGCUGGCAUGGCUGUCGUCAGCUCGUGUCGAGAUGUUGGGUUAAGUCCCGGCAACGAGCGCAACCCGCCGAAGCGCGCUAAAAGGGCACUCUAAUGAGACUGCCGGUGACAAACCGGAGGAAGGUGGGAUGACGUCAAGUCCUUCAUGGCCCUUAUGGGUAGGCUUCACACGUCAUACAAUGGUCGGGACAGAGGGUCGCCAACCCGCGAGGGGGAGCCAAUCCCAGAAACCCGAUCGUAGUCCGGAUCGCAGUCUGCAACUCGACUGGGGUGUCGGAAUCGCUAGUAAUCGCGGAUCAGCAUACAACAGUGGUGAAUACGUUCCCGGUCUUGUACACACCGCCCGUCACACCAUGGGAGUGGGUUUUACCAGAAGUAGUUAGCCUAACCGUAAGGAGGGCGAUUACCACGGUAGGAUUCAUGACUGGGGUGAAGUCGUAAGGCGUAGC